ensembl:lncRNA
GUGAAGGACCUCAGCCAUCCCAACAACAGACUGUUCUCUCUGCUGAGGUCAGGAAAGCGAUUCCGCUCCCUGAAGACCAACACAGAGAGACUGAGGAGGAGCUUCUUCCCGCAGGCGAUACGGUCUCUCAAUCACACCACCACACAGUACUGACCCACACAUAUGGUUCUUACACACACACUGGACUUUCUGGACAUUGUUUUUGCACACAUUGUUUUUUUGCACAACACUGGUCACUAUAUUCUUCAUUUCCGGUUAAUACUUGUACAGCUGCUGUUAUUGUGUAUAUAUUUAUUUAUAUUUAGAUUUCUUCAUACAUUCUUAUAUAUAGAUCUAUAUUGUGUAUUUUGUUGUACAGUUAUUUUAUUUUCAACUUUAAUUUAUAUAUUUUAUCUUAUUCUUCCCAGUUAAAUUUACCCUUCAUUCUAAUUUGUGUUGUACAGUUAUUUCAUUUUUAACCUUAAUUUAUAUUUUAUUCCUUCUUAGUUAAAUUUACCCUUUUUAAUUUUUCAUAUUUAUUUCCUAUCUUAUUCAUAGCCUUUUCCUUUUUUUGUUUUCUUUAGGUCACGAGCAGUUGUCCAAGCAUUUCACUACAUAUCGUACUGUGUAUGACUGUGUACGUGACAAAUAAAAUUUGAAUUUUUUUUUUUUUUUGAGUAGGCUAGGCUUGGUUUUAGUUUUAGCAUAUGCUUUAAUUUCAUAGAUCCUUUAGCUGAGAUGUUUGUUUUUCGUUUUUGUUUUUACUAUUUUUGCCUCUGAUUAUGGUUGACACAGUUGUUUGGCAAGUAGAAGGUAAAUGGUUUGAUUCCAAAUGGAGGGAGUAGCUAAAGGUUGAUUUUUCAGUUCAUGUAUUAUCACGGAGUUGUCAUACCCUAAAUUGUACCUAUCUGGUUACAUUAGUGGUUACAAUUAAAGUGCAUGACCAUCUAACACUUUGACAUGCUCACACGUGUUGUAGAUUUUUUUUUAUUUCCCACUUUACUGUAAGCAUAUGACUGUUUUCUGGUGUAUUUUGGUGUCACUUCUAUCUCAUAGCCAGCUCUGGAUUUAAAAAAAAUGAUUUAAUCCUAUUACAAUGAACAGUUAUUCAUAUGGUUCUAUGAAAUGUGAGCAACAACAUAGCCUUGAGAGGGAGGAAAGUUAUCUAAAGGCAAAACACGACCCUGAAAAUUCAGAAGCAUGAAAACUAGCUUAGUAAUUAGAUGCUAAAUUAGUCCAUGUGGACCAAUUAGGCAAGACAAGACAUGGGGGCUCUGUAAUGCUUUGUCAACAGAAAUGAAACCAGUACAAGGAGACAGACGGGUUGAGGAUGAACAAGUCUGAAUGAGAGACAGAAAAGGGAGGGUGGCAUGAG